ACAAAGGACUAUAGAAAACACAAAUAAAACAAGCGUUUUCAAAAAUCAAGAAGAAUAAAAAAACUCUAAAAAAGAAAAAAACCAAAAAAGUAAAAGUUAAGAAAAAAUCUAAUACAAAAGGAAGUAGUAAUUAACUUCCAAUUGUAAACGAAUUGUAUGAGCAAAAGAAUGAAAACUCAACAACCGCUUUCAGUUAGAAAAGAUCGUGUACAAAUGAUGUUGAAAUCGAUGACAGUCGAGGUUGUUUAUAUACUUUUGCGAUUUAAAAACCGCCAGAUAAUUGAGGACUGGUAGAAAAUCCAGCACAUGACCUUGCGUAAUGCAGCCAGCAUUUUCAUGCGAUAGAUGAACAAAAGUGCCGCUCUCUCACCACGUAAGAUCCGCCAGCGCAGUGAUUCAUUUGCGCUAAAUACUCAAUAAAAUGUAAGGAAGUAAUGUUUUAACAUGCUUAACCAUAAAAAGCGAAGUAUCGAGGGAAUUUCCACUUGGUUUCGGUCCAAAAGUUAAAAUAUAUCCGCAAUUGGUGGAAAAAAAUCCUCUUCCUUUAUCAACCAAGUGCACCUCGGCUUGGCCAAAGCAUAGUCAGUAUCGAUUUGCUACCAGCAAAGAGCAGUCACGGAAACCAAGAAAGAGGUUGGAUAGUAGGUUGACCCUUGCAAAUCCUUGAAGAUGCGGACAGUUUAACUAUCAGCUCGUUUAGUGGAAUGGAAAAUCAGCUGUUGUAAAGAGUCCACCGUGAACCAAAAAGUCAAGCGAUAUCUCGUAAGCAUCGUAAAACAAGUCCGUGCGCAAUCCUGCCACCUUCUACAUUGCAUUUAGUAGAUAGAGAUAAUUGAAGCCUUUUUAAUACAACGUUCAUGAACUCAGUAAAACCAGUUUUCUUAAAAAUUAUGGUAAACUAGAUGCGAAAGUCGGAAGAGUGAAACUCCAUGCGCGCUUUCAAAAUUAGCGAUAUUUUAUUUUCAAGUGAAAAAAAUGAGUAAUGAAAGGCGCGACUAACUGAACGUGACUGCAGAAAUUUUUAAUUUCAUACCGAAAUCGUACAUGGAUGUAAAUUUAGGGAAAGUCUCUUGAUAUUGACAAAUGGUUAGCAUUAUAAUCCAGAACAGUCUGCAUCCCAAAAUGACUAGACACAAUGAAGGUUAAUAACAUUAGUCUACCAAGCCUACGGAGCAAUCUCUCAAUUCCCAAAAAUAGACACAGUUUUAAUUCUCCUUACUUAUGAUCGUUUUACAAACACCGAAUUUUAAUCAAUAAUCGUUGAAUGCAUGUUGCUCAUUGUCAAACUUCUUCCGAUUACUUGAACGUGGGAAUCCUAUCCAAUUGACAUUCGUCUUCCCAGAAAAAAAUUUUGUAGGGAAGAAUUGAAUCAUUGAAAGACACGUUUUUAAAACAAUUGGAAAUAAAUUAUGUUGUAAUAGAAAAAAAACAAAGUUUAUGCAACUUUUCGCACUUCGGUCACCAACGACGCUGGUUAACGAAAAACGGAACUAACUUAAUUCCGUUCCUUUUGAAGGUUUUGCAUCUAGAGACAAAGAAUUGCAAUAUCGUGCAUUUUAAUUCUGUUUAAUGAUAAAUGGUCGUCACAAUUGCUUCUAAUUAAGUUGACAGCUAGCUAGCUCAAUUUGCUGGACGCUGGGAAAAGCAACUAACUAUUGGAGUAGUUGAUCGGUAUCAGGGCGAUUGACGACUAGCACACAGACGGAAACAUGGAUUUCGAUCCGUUUUUGCGGAAGUACUCCCAAAACUAAUAUCCAGCACUGAUGCUUAAUGGAGAGCAUUAAAGCAUGAUUCGUUCAGGUAAUUGAAAAACGGUAAUUUCAGGUGAAAAAAAAAAUUUACUAUCAGGACCUUUGCAUUCUCAAUAGGAUAAAUGAACAUAGCUUUAUCCGGCAAUUCCUAAAUUUGAUCCAUGUAUAUCAACGAAUCUCCUUGAAACAUGGUAAUAUAGGAAGCAACGAAGCUUUCAUACAGAAGUGUCGUUUUAUUCAUUUAACAACGCUUAGGUUUUUCUAUUGGUAUAUUCAACGAUAAUGCAAAUGAUUUAAAGCAAGCAAAAAAUGAUGCCUUUUUUUGACAGAGUUUUUUUGGUUUGAAUAAACCGGAGUAGGCGAACAAAAUUAUUCACAUAAAUAAGACUGCAGAAAUCACCAGAUUUUCUUAAGCUACAUUUUGUCUACGAUCCACAAAGAUUUCACCUUGAGUAAGAGUCAGAGAACAUACUUGGAAAAUGAGGUUGUGAAUGGGAAUUCAAAGGUAUAUAUAUAUAUGUAUGUUUGUAACAGCUAGGCAAGUUAUUUAUAACAGGUACAGAAAUAUGUGUACCCGAAUGCUCCUUCACAAAGACAAAUCGAGUGGACAACCGCUAAGCGAAACCUAUCAAUAGAAGUGUUCAUCAAUAGACGAGGUAGCGUAUGCUAUUAAUAGGCUAAACUUAAAUAUAACUAGCAAAUCAUUUCGCAAAACGAUUAUUAUCAAUUACAUAAAAAUGGGGAGAAUCCACUUUCUUUGUUGUUUAAAACAAAGAAAUCUGGCUAUCUUUAUUAAAAUGACAUGACAUGUAAGAGAAUCAAUUAACAAUAGUGUGCAUAUCUGUGCCUUACUAUGGGAUUCUUAGGAGAACGCUAUUUCGCAGUAUUGCUGUACAAAGAUGUUACUAAAUUAUUUAAGAUAAUAAAAAUUACUAUAUGCAGUAGGAAGUUGAAACAGCUAAUAGAGUGAAAAAAACGAGAAUAUAGGACGCAAUUGGACGUUUUGGGCUAGUUAGCAAAUAAACUAAGAAUUAAAGGUUUAGAUUUCGAGGUGCAGUCAAACAAUUUGUUCGCUUUUCAUAGCUUAAAUGUGUUUACGAAAGUUUGCGGAGUGCAUUAAACUGAUCAGAUAGGAAAAAUGGAGAACAAAGAAAGUGAAUAUUUAAAAGGAUAGGCAUACUACAUACCUACGGUUUUGAAGAUAGUAUUAAAGGAAAUAUUGUUUUAACAUCUAUAUAUCACUAAUUCAAUAUUUUU
rnacentral:lncRNA from 1 species